GAACAUAACGAUACACGAAAAGAAUCCAAAAUUAGCAGGUACUUGCGCAGUGCCCAGACCAUGAUUAUCGCCGUAUGUUAUAUUGGGUAUCAGAAUAAAUGAGCAAUUAAAGAAAAUAAAAAAUGGCAAUUAUCACUUAAGACGUAUCUUAAUUAAGCGACACAAAACACGGAUGUUGUUUGCCACGCGUCGUACUGUAGCGCAUUUGGAAGGAGAAAACGAGGGGAGAAAAGAUCAGUUUCAUCUCGUCGACGAAGUCAAGCAAAUCGUCUCGUGGUUCCUCUCCUUCUCUACUCCGAACCAAAGAAGUCUCUGUCACCGAUUUGAAGCGACCGAGAGAAGAAGAGGAUGAUAACUCCACCGCCGCCGUCGCUUCCAUGGAGACGGAUCACUCGGCUCCGGCUGCUAACGGAGAGCAGACAAAGGAGCCUGCUUGUUUCUCCUCUGUGAUUUCGAGUAGUUUUCUGAGAUGAGUCCCAUGUGGCCAGAGAGGCACAAAGGUUGAUAAAGUUUUGUUUCAAGAGAAGUCAGAUUACCAAGAUGUUAUUGUUUUCCAGUCUGUGACAUAUGGGAAAGUGUUGGUUUUGGAUGGAGUAAUCCAACUUAGGGAGAGAGACGAAUGCGCCUAUCAGGAGAUGAUCACUCAUCUUCCUUUGUCCUCUAUCCCUGAGACAAAGCAAUGACCCUAAGAAGGGAAGCCAAGAGCAUCCAAACGUUGGUGACACUCCUUCAGAGCGUAAAGAACGAAGAACAUGGACGCAUACAUAUGAUAUAGUGUUCAUCAGCGCUUGGUUAAACACAUCAAAUUUGUUAUUGUGUUUUUUUUAAUCUAUGUUUUAAAUAUUAUCUUUUAUAAUGUUUUAUAUAAUAAAUAAAUUUUAUUUUUA